UGUGUCCUGCCUUGCUCUAGGGAUGUCCCACGCUAUAACUCCGGCCUCUGUUCCCGUGUGACCACAUCUAUGUGCACGUGGGGACAGCAGUGCUGUGACUGUUUGCUGCCAUGAGGAGUCCCAGAGCUCUGACCCAGGGUGAGAGCAAUGCUGGGAGCGGCCGGGGAAUGCCCCAAAUUGUCCCCACUGCCCUCUGCUCUGUGCUGAGCUGGGUCUGUGCUGCUCAUGCUGGGGGAUGGGUUUGUGGCUGGGGAAGGAGACAGUGGUUUUGCUCAGUUUGCACCUGCUUCCUCUUUGCCAGUUUUGGGCUUUAUUUGGGGUGGUUUUACCUGGGUGUGAAGGACUCACAGCUCUGUGCCUUUGGCUCCUGCAGUGAUAGGAGCUGCUGUGCUGCCGGCGCUGGGGUCUGCAGGGACACCCCCAGGGAACGUUAAUUGAUAUCCUGUGGUCUCAGGGUGACCCAUCUCCUUCCCAAGGGCUGCAGGCUUCCCCAUCACAGCUCUGCAGCACCCACGAAGCAGCACGGCGCUGCAGCCUGCUGACAUCCCAACUCUCGAUGCUGUGCCCCGUGUUGAGGACACAAAGAACAGCGGUGACUCCACAGAAUGGCACAGAGGGGACCACGCAGAGCACUGCUCAAACCCUCAGCCCUUACCCCUGGCUCCCUGCCCCAUGCAGCGUUGCACGCUGGCCAUGCCCAGCACCGUUGGCCCUUUCCAGCCCUGUCCCAGCUGCCUGUGGAUGGCUGCAACUCUGGGAAUUUUUUUUCUCAAGCAGGAAGCUGAAGCAUUUCCUCCUCCAGCCGCAGCCGAUGCUUGCAGAGCGAGUUUUGCAAUCCCGUGGGUUUCUGUUCUGCAGCGGGGAGGUGCCUCUCUCCACCUUGCAGCUCUCUCCUCCCGUACUUUUUUGCAUCCGCCGUUGUUGCGCUGCCGGCCCCGACAGGUCCCAGCGAGCAGCGGGGUUUGGCGGAGCACGGAGCAGCGUCGCUGCCUCCCAUGUGCAGGUAGGAGGAGGGCAGUUGUGCUGUGCCUGCAGCUGUGCCGUCCCUGCGGCUUUGCUGUGCCUGCGGCUCUCCCAUGCGUUGCCGGCAGCAGAGGGGAGAGCAGCGGUGACGGCGGUGCUCCCGGUGCAGGCGAUGCAGAGCACCCCCAAUUACCUCUGGAGCACAGACGACCUGCUGGGCCAAGGAGCCACGGCCUGCGUCUACAAAGCCCGCAGCAAGAAAUCAGGGGAGCUGGUUGCUGUCAAGGUCUUCAACAAAGCCAGCUACCUGCGCCCGCAGGAAGUGCAGAUGCGGGAGUUUGAGAUGCUGCGGAAGCUGAACCAUAAAAACAUUGUCAAGUUAUUUGCAGUGGAGGAGACAGGCAGCAGCAAGCAGAAGGUGCUGGUGAUGGAGUACUGCUCCAGUGGCAGCCUGCUGAGCGUCCUUGAGGACCCUGCCAACGCUUUUGGCUUGGCUGAGCCCGAGUUCCUCGUGGUGCUGCAGUGCGUGGUGGCAGGGAUGAACCACCUCCGUGAGAACGGUGUUGUGCACCGGGACAUCAAACCUGGCAACAUCAUGCGCCUGGUGGGGGAGGACGGGCAGAGCAUCUACAAACUGACUGACUUUGGUGCCGCCCGGGAGCUGGAGGAUGAUGAAAAGUUUGUGUCUGUCUAUGGGACAGAGGAGUACUUGCAUCCCGACAUGUAUGAGCGUGCUGUCCUGCGGAAGCCACAGCAGAAGGCAUAUGGGGUCACCGUUGACCUAUGGAGCAUCGGUGUCACCUUCUACCACGCUGCCACCGGCCGGCUGCCCUUCGUGCCUUUCGGGGGACCCCGCAGGAACAAGGAGACUAUGUACAAGAUCACCACUGAGAAGCCCCCCGGGGCCAUUGCAGGCGUGCAGCGACAAGAGAAUGGCAGCAUUGAAUGGAGCUACGAGCUGCCCCUCACUUGCCAGCUGUCAGUGGGGCUGAAGGAUCAGCUCGUCCCCAUUCUGGCCAACAUCCUGGAAGCAGACCAGGAGAAAUGCUGGGGCUUCGAUCAGUUCUUUGCAGAAACCAAUGACAUUUUGCACAGGAUCGUGGUCGACGUCUUCUCCUUGCAGCAGGCGUCCUCGCACCGCAUCUACAUCCACUCCUACAACACUACCAGCAAGUUUUUAGAUGCUGUCUUCAAACAAACGGACAUAGUCCCUCACCAUCAAGAAUAUUUUUUUGAAGGCCACCCAUACGAGUUGGACCCCAACCUCCAAGCCCAUAAUUUCUGCAGAACAGCCCGGCACAACCCUCUGACCCUGCUGAGCUGUGCUGAGCAGCCAGAGGACGUGGUGGGCUUGAGAUACAGAGACCCGGCUCUCGACUUCCCCAAGUUUGUCUCCAAGGUGGACGUGGUGGCCGACUGCAGCGCUGCCAAGAGCGCGGUGGGCGCCGUGCACCAGGCGCUGCGGAUCGCGCAGGAGCUGCAGCGGUGCCAGGAGCUGACAGUGCGGGGGCUGCACUGGGUGAUUGGCAACCUGAGGUCUGAGUGCUCGAGGGUUUUGGAGCAGAGGAGAGGGGUGCAUGCGGUGCUCUCUGGGCUGCAGCUGAUGGAGGGGAAGACCCGUGGGCUGUACGAGGCCGUUCCUGGGGGCAAUGCACUGCCAGCCCUGAAGGACGUGGCUGCAGUGAAGAUGCGGCUGCAGAGGGUGGCAGAGGAGCUUUCGCAGUGCUCCCACAGCAUCUUUGACUUCCAAGGGGCCCUGGAUGGGAUGGUGUCUGAACUGGUGCAGCAUGGGCAACAAGCUCACGAAGACAAAAGCAUCCAGCAGAUCGAGUGCUGUCUGGAGAAGAUGCAGCUCAUCUACAAGCAGUUCCGCAAGGCCAGGACGUGUCCAGCACUGGGCUACAAUGAGGAGCAGAUACACAAACUGGACAAGGUGAAUUUGGGGCACUUAGCCAGGAAGGUGCUGCUCAUCUUCCAGGAGCAGUGUGCACAGCAGUACCAGGAUGCUCUGGCCCUCCAUGGCAGCAGGGUGAGGAAGGUCUGUGAGAUAAAGAAGCACCUGAAGAGGCUCAGCAACCACAUCAGCACUUGCAGCGUGGAGGCCAGCGAGUGCCAGGACUGCCUGCAGCUGGCUUUGGACAAGUUUCUGCAGACAGUUGUGCCAGAGAAGCACAACCUGGCCCUGGUCCCUGCAGUGCCUUUGCCUGUUCCCCUAAGCCAAACGCGCCAAGAGAUGGCUUUGCAGAUGCAGGAGCUGCUGGAGCAGAUGAAGUCAGUAACGUGCGACCUCCAGUUCAACAACGGCAUCAUCGAGCGGUGAGUGGAGCACUUGGAGAGCCCUGUGUUCUGCACUGGGGCCGGGCUCUGAGCACAGCCACAGCUGUCCCAGCAGCAGCACACCUGCAUCACCCUCUGACAGCAGAGAGAGUUUGUCUUUUUUGGAAAUGCUCAGUGGGGCUGCUCCUGCUCCUGGGGUCUGAGCAAGGUGUGUUUGCAGCUGCAAAAGAUAACAGGGGAUCACUGCCAGCACCACAGCUCCUGCACCAUGCACUGCUCCGACACUGCCUUGGUGUUAAAGCAGCUCUCUGGAUCCUACCUCUGUGCUCCAGCACCUUUGAACAGUUCUUCAGCGUUGGGUGGCUGCAAGCCUUGAAUAUUUGAUGAGAAACUGAUGCAGCGCCAGGUUUUUCCCUUUUAAAAAGCGCUCAAAGGACUCGAUGACUUUCUGACUUCUCUGUAUCCCAAUGUCAGAUGAUGAAGAGUAUAGACAGAGAAAUUUUCUUUUGCCUUUUUGCCUAUUUAGGGAAAUUCUAUUCUGGCUCUGCUCACUGAGCCCAGGGCAGGAGGGGCUGCAUCCAAAGGAGGAGAUGACAAAACUGGUUCCAGUGCUGUCACUGCACCCUGUCACCUACCCUUGUCCCCAACCCCAGCUCAGCCCCAUCCCAGCACUGCUGAUGGCUGUGGGCACAGGAAGCUGGGGGAGGUUUCUCUAUUUUGAUGCAUUUUUGUAAAUAUAACUGAGAUCUGUCAAAAAGAAUUGCUUAACGUCCGCUUCUGCCUUUAAUUUGCAGGGUGAAAUAGUGCAGAUGGCAAGGCUGGGCAGCAGCAGGGACGGGGCCAGGAAUGGGGAUGGGGAUUAGGGAACCCAGGCAGGAAUUCACUGGGGUGUCUGAAGCUGCCCUGGGCAGAACACCCCUCUUCUUCUCCAUGGAAUGGCACAGCUGGGAAGCACACUGCUCCCAUCCCACCGGAGCCCAGCGCUCUGUUAUCGCAGGUAUCUGUUAUGCUCCAAAUUUCAGCCUGGUUUUGGCUUUUACAAGAGGUCCUGGAUUCUUCUGGUUAUUGCUGAGUCAGUGCUGAAGGUCCCAGCAAAGCCCUGGGACGACUCCUGCAGCCCUGGCUCAGGGUUCAGCGAUGCCUCUGCAAGGAGAGGCCAGGCCAUGGUCUGGGCAAGCCGGUCUGACUCAGCACCGGGAGGCUCAGCCUGCCUGCCUGAACCCAUCCCUUGGCAUCUGGCUUUGCCCUUCACCCUCCAGUCCUCUUCCCAGUAUGUUCUCUGGAGGUGAAAUGUGCCAGCUCAGCCCAAAGCCUUCAGCUGAGGCUCACAGAGCUGCUGAGCUGCGGGAGCUCCAGUUUGUCCCCAGCCCAGGGCUGGGAUGGUGCACAGAGGGAGACCAGCACCGCAGAGAGGCAGAGCCCAGAGCUGCUCCUUGCAUUGAGGAAUAUUCCCACAUUCUGUUGGGACACCUAUAGGGAUCUGAUGCAGAACAGUUUCCUUCUUGCUGCAGCUCUGCCUGGCUCUCAGCACAAGAGGAGCAAGGCACGCAGCACACCUCAAAGGAACAGGGAGCAGUGGCUCCAGGCUGUCUUGGCUUCAUUUUCUUGUAGGAGCAGGAGCAUCAGGAGCUGCCCCUGUACAGCAAACCACUUCUGAGUGGUAUUUGGCACCAAAUCUGUACAUUCCCAUUCAUUUUAAUUGUAAAAACCAACAUCCCCACUGCCAAACCCAACCGCUCGCUGUGGAAGCAGUGGAGCUGAGCCACCUCUUAAAAGCUUCUCCCCUGCAAAUUAUUUUCAAGGAUUCUCCCAGCUUUACAACCAGCAUUGCAUUGAAUCCAGGUCCAGCAGAGCCGUGCUGAUGUGGACCAUGCGAGUGUUUGACCUGGAAUGUGUUUGGCUCCAAAAGAAAGGAUUUAUUUCUUGGCAUGCACCAAAAGGAAGAGCUGCUAAUAGCCCUUGUCGUGCUUCAGCUGCCAUAACGCAGCAGCUGCAAAGAGGACUCCCAGAAUCUAAAUAAAACAGAGAUUUUCUUGCCAGUGCUCAUCAGGAUUUCUUCCCUCCCCAAACCCUGGUCCUAAAAGUUUCCUGCACUGUCAGAACUGAAUGCCUGCUGAGGAAGCAGAGAAUGGCAGUGAAUCUGCUCUAUCUCCCAGUCUGGGGGGAGCACAGAGUAAAGCAUCAGCCUUUGGGAAAACCAUUUACCCAGGAACAAAUCUGCUGCUCUUCUCAUGCAGAAGUAGAGGAUGCAUGAAAGUGAAUCGGGAUCCCGAAUGGGGAAGGAAAAGACCUUCCAAUAUGAGUCAUGCUACUUAACAGAACAAAACCGGGAUUUUCCAAGCUGUAUUAUUGCUCCUUUAGUUUUAAGCUCUUAUUAGGGAUU